rnacentral:rRNA from 1 species
GAUGAACGCUGGCGGCGUGCUUAACACAUGCAAGUCGAACGAUGAACCAGGUGCUUGCACUUGGGGAUUAGUGGCGAACGGGUGAGUAACACGUGAGUAACCUGCCCCUGACUCUGGGAUAAGCCCGGGAAACUGGGUCUAAUACCGGAUAUGACUGUCCACUGCAUGGUGGGUGGUUGAAAGAUUUAUCGGUGAGGGAUGGACUCGCGGCCUAUCAGCUUGUUGGUGAGGUAAUGGCUCACCAAGGCGACGACGGGUAGCCGGCCUGAGAGGGUGACCGGCCACACUGGGACUGAGACACGGCCCAGACUCCUACGGGAGGCAGCAGUGGGGAAUAUUGCACAAUGGGCGAAAGCCUGAUGCAGCGACGCCGCGUGAGGGAUGACGGCCUUCGGGUUGUAAACCUCUUUCAGUAGGGAAGA